rnacentral:rRNA from 1 species
AUGAAAUUAAAUGUUGAUGCGGGGUUUGAUCAAGAUCUACUUGAAGGAUCCGUGGGGGCAAUCAUUCGUGAUCAAAGUGGACAAUUCAUUGCUGCGGCGAAUGAAAAAAUAGGCAUUUGUUUUGAUUCCUUCACUGCAAAGGCUCUGGCUGUCAGGUUUGGGCUGAACCUUGCGAGAACAGUCGGAUGUAGCAGGAUUGUGGUAAGCUGGGACAGCUUGGGGUUAGUGGAAGCCCUAAAAAACGGCAACUCUUCUUCGGUUGCUUCUGCUAUUAUUGACGAUUGUUUCUUCAUGUCCUCUGAUUUCAACCAUGUUACUUAUGAUCAUUGUAAUAGAGAGAGUAAUAAAGUAGCCCAUGAGCUUGCUAGACUAGUUAAGUUUUCUCCUUCUAGUUGCUGGAUGGAUUCAGCGCCUCCUGCGGUGCUCUCUUUUCUUGUAAACGAUACCACUGUGCUUGCUUCUGAAUAG